rnacentral:rRNA from 1 species
UGCCCUGGGUAAGUCGGGACCUAAGGCGAGGCCGACAGGCGUAGUCGAUGGACAACCAGUUGAUAUUCUGGUACCGGCGUAGCAACGCCCGUGUCGAGGUCAGUGAUACUAAGCACGCAAGAUCAGCUGUCGGCCACCUUUGGUGGUUGUGGUUGGUUGAGUCUGUGACCUGAACUGGUAUUAGACAAGCUGCGGAGGGACGCAGGAAGGUAGCCCAACCCACGUGAUGGUUAUCGUGGGCUAAGAGUGUAGGACGGCGUGUAGGCAAAUCCGCACGCUUUAUGUUUGAGACUUGAUGGCACUGGCAUCUACGGGUGUUGGUGUGGGUGAUCCUAUGCUGCCUAGAAAAGCUUCGUGAGCGAGUUGUUAAGCCGCCCGUACCCUAAACCGACACAGGUGGAUAGGUAGAGAAUACCAAGGCGAUCGAGAUAAUCGUGGUGAAGGAACUCGGCAAAAUACCCCCGUAACUUCGGGAUAAGGGGGACCUGAUCCGUGGCCAUCUUUUCGAUGGGUAGCGGUGAGGGUCGCAGAGACCAGGCCCAAGCGACUGUUUACUAAAAACACAGGUCCGUGCGAAGUUGUAAGACGAUGUAUACGGACUGACUCCUGCCCGGUGCUGGAAGGUUAAGGGGAACUGUUAGCUGUAAGGCGAAGCGGUGAACUUAAGCCCCAGUAAACGGCGGUGGUAACUAUAACCAUCCUAAGGUAGCGAAAUUCCUUGUCGGGUAAGUUCCGACCUGCACGAAUGGAGUAACGAUUUGGGCGCUGUCUCCACCACGAACUCGGCGAAAUUGCACUACGAGUAAAGAUGCUCGUUACGCGCAGCAGGACGGAAAGACCCCGGGACCUUUACUAUAGUUUGGUAUUGGUGAUCGGUACGACUUGUGUAGGAUAGGUGGGAGACUGUGAAGCUUGGACGCUAGUUCAGGUGGAGUCAUUGUUGAAAUACCACUCUGGUCGUUCUGGUUAUCUAACCUCGGACCAUGAUCUGGUUCAGGGACAGUGCCUGAUGGGUAGUUUGACUGGGGCGGUCGCCUCCCAAAAGGUAACGGAGGCGCCCAAAGGUUCCCUCAGCCUGGUUGGCAAUCAGGUGUUGAGUGUAAGUGCACAAGGGAGCUUGACUGUGAGACAGACAUGUCGAGCAGGGACGAAAGUCGGGACUAGUGAUCUGACGGUGGCGUGUGGAAGCGCCGUCACUCAACGGAUAAAAGGUACCCCGGGGAUAACAGGCUGAUCUUGCCCGAGCGUCCAUAGCGACGGCAUGGUUUGGCACCUCGAUGUCGGCUCGUCGCAUCCUGGGGCUGGAGUCGGUCCCAAGGGUUGGGCUGUUCGCCCAUUAAAGCGGCACGCGAGCUGGGUU